GACGAACGCUGGCGGCGUGCUUAACACAUGCAAGUCGAACGGAAAGGCCCUGCUUUUUUGGGGUGCUCGAGUGGCGAACGGGUGAGUAACACGUGAGUAACCUGCCCUUGACUUUGGGAUAACUUCAGGAAACUGGGGCUAAUACCGGAUAGGAGCUCCUGCUCCAUGGUGGGGGUGGGAACGUUUCGGCGGUUGGGGAUGGACUCGCGGCUUAACGGCUUGUUGGUUGGGUAGUGGCUUACCAAGGCUUUGACGGGUAGCCGGCAUGGGAGGGGGACCGGCCACAUGGGGCCUGAGAGAGGGACCAGAGUGCAACGGGAGGCAGCAGGGGGGAAUAUGGCACAACGGGAGCAAGUGUGAGGCAGAGACGCCGGGGGUGUGAAGACGGCCUUCGGGGUGAAAAACGCUGCCGGCUGUGACGAAGCGGGAGUGACGGUAACGGGUAAAGAAGCACCGGCUAACUACGUG
rnacentral:rRNA from 1 species